rnacentral:rRNA from 1 species
GAUGAACGCUGGCGGCGUGCUUAACACAUGCAAGUCGAACGGUGAAGGCGGAGCUUGCUCUGCUGGAUCAGUGGCGAACGGGUGAGUAACACGUGAGCAAUCUGCCCCUGACUCUGGGAUAAGCGCUGGAAACGGCGUCUAAUACUGGAUACGAGCUGCGAAGGCAUCUUCAGCAGCUGGAAAGAAUUUCGGUCAGGGAUGAGCUCGCGGCCUAUCAGCUUGUUGGUGAGGUAAUGGCUCGCCAAGGCGUCGACGGGUAGCCGGCCUGAGAGGGUGACCGGCCACACUGGGACUGAGACACGGCCCAGACUCCUACGGGAGGCAGCAGUGGGGAAUAUUGCACAAUGGGCGAAAGCCUGAUGCAGCAACGCCGCGUGAGGGACGACGGCCUUCGGGUUGUAAUCCUCUUUUAGCAGGGAAGAAGCGAAAGUGACGGUACCUGCAGAAAAAGCGCCGGCUAACUACGUG